GCUUUCGUAGAUCAAGAUAGAUUGUUUCCGCGGCAUAGGCGUUUGUAAUCCGCGUACGGAAAAGACAUGGGUUCGAAUCCCAUCGAAGGCG